rnacentral:rRNA from 1 species
GACGAACCGUGCAAACGUUGUUCGGAAUCACUGGGCUUAAAGGGCGCGUAGGCGGGUGUUCAAGUCAGGGGUGAAAUCCUCCAGCUUAACUGGAGAACAGCUUCUGAUACUGGAUGUCUUGAGGGGGGUAGGGGCAUGUGGAACUUCCGGUGGAGCGGUGAAAUGCGUAGAUAUCGGAAGGAACGCCGGUGGCGAAAGCGACGUGCUGGACCCUUUCUGACGCUGAGGCGCGAAAGCCAGGGGAGCAAACGGG